GCUGGCGGCAGGCCUAACACAUGCAAGUCGAGCGGCCGUAGCAAUACGGCAGCGGCAGACGGGAGAGUAACACGUGGGAACGCGCCCUUCGGUUCGGAAUAACUCAGGGAAACUUGAGCUAAUACCGGAUACGCCCUUACGGGGAAAGAUUUAUUGCCGAAGGAACGGCCCGCGUCCGAUUAGCUUGUUGGUGAGGUAAUGGCUCACCAAGGCGACGAUCGGUAGCUGGUCUGAGAGGAUGACCAGCCUCACUGGGACUGAGACACGGCCCAGACUCCUACGGGAGGCAGCAGUGGGGAAUAUUGGACAAUGGGCGCAAGCCUGAUCCAGCCAUGCCGCGUGGAUGAUGAAGGCCUUAGGGUUGUAAAGUCCUUUUAACGGGGAAGAUAAUGACGGUACCCGUAGAAUAAGCCCCGGCUAACUUCGUGCCAGCAGCCGCGGUAAUACGAAGGGGGCUAGCGUUGCUCGGAAUUACUGGGCGUAAAGCGCACGU
rnacentral:rRNA from 1 species